rnacentral:rRNA from 1 species
GUGCCAGCCGCCGCGGUAAUACCGGCAGCCCGAGUGAUGGCCGAUUUUAUUGGGCCUAAAGCGUUCGUAGCCUGCCAGACAGGUCCGUCGGGAAAUCUGCACGCCCAACGUGCAGGCGUCCGGCGGAAACCAGCUGGCUUGGGGCCGGAAGACCCAGGGGGUACGUCCGGGGUAGGAGUGAAAUCCUGUAAUCCCGGACGGACCGCCGGUGGCGAAAGCGCCCUGGGAGGACGGACCCGACGGUGAGGGACGAAAGCUAGGGUCACGAACCGGAUUAGAAACCCCUGUAGUCC